CAGUCGCCGCGGUAAUACGUAGGUGGCAAGCGUUGUCCGGAAUUAUUGGGCGUAAAGGGCUCGCAGGCGGUUUCUUAAGUCUGAUGUGAAAGCCCCCGGCUCAACCGGGGAGGGUCAUUGGAAACUGGGAAACUUGAGUGCAGAAGAGGAGAGUGGAAUUCCACGUGUAGCGGUGAAAUGCGUAGAGAUGUGGAGGACACCAGUGGCGAAGGCGACUCUCUGGUCUGUAACUGACGCUGAGGAGCGAAAGCGUGGGGAGCGAGCAGGAUUAGAUACCCGCGUAGUCCCUGUCUCUUAUCAC
rnacentral:rRNA from 1 species